AAGUCGUAACAAGGUUUCCGUAGGUGAACCUGCGGAAGGAUCAUUACCGAUUUUAGCGAACCUAACCUUUGGUUAUGGUCUCGCGAAAACUUUGUAUUUAAAACCCCACUCUUAAAAAAAAAAAUAUUUUUUAAUAUAAUAAUAAAUAAAGAUCACUUUCAACAACGGAUCUCUUGGCUCUC
rnacentral:misc_RNA from 1 species